GACGAACGCUGGCGGCGUGCCUAAUACAUGCAAGUAGAACGCACAGUUUAUACCGUUGCUUGCUCCACCAUAGACUGUGAGUUGCGAACGGGUGAGUAACGCGUAGGUAACCUGCCUGGUAGCGUGGGAUAACUAUUGGAAACGAUAGCUAAUACCGCAUAAUAUUAAUUAUUGCAUGAUAAUUAACUGAAGGGUGCAAUUGCACCACUACCAGAUGGACCUGCGUUGUAUUAGCUAGUAGGUGAGGUAACGGCUCACCUAGGCGACGAUACAUAGCCGACCGGCGAGGGUGAGCGGCCGCACUGGGACGGAGACAGGGCCCAGAGGGCUACGGGAGGGAGCAGUAGGGAAACGUGGGGAAGGGAUGAAGGUCUGAACAAGAUAGGCCGCGGGAGGGAAGAAGGAUGUCGGAUCGGAGAGGUCGGUUGUAAGGGAAGAACGGGGGUGCGAGUGGAAAGUUCAGAGUGUGACGGUAUCGGAUCAGAAAGCGACGGCUAACUACGUG
rnacentral:rRNA from 1 species